AGCGGUAAGGCCCUUCGGGGUACACGAGCGGCGAACGGGUGAGUAACACGUGGGUGACCUGCCCUCAGCUCUGGGAUAAGCCUGGGAAACCGGGUCUAAUACCGGAUAUGACCUGCUUCUGCAUGGGAGUGGGUGGAAAGUUUUUUCGGCUGGGGAUGGGCCCGCGGCCUAUCAGCUUGUUGGUGGGGUGAUGGCCUACCAAGGCGACGACGGGUAGCCGGCCUGAGAGGGCGACCGGCCACACUGGGACUGAGACACGGCCCAGACUCCUACGGGAGGCAGCAGUGGGGAAUAUUGCGCAAUGGGCGGAAGCCUGACGCAGCGACGCCGCGUGGGGGAUGACGGCCUUCGGGUUGUAAACCUCUUUCGACCGGGACGAAGCGUAAGUGACGGUACCGGGAUAAGAAGCACCGGCCAACUACGUGCCAGCAGCCGCGGUAACACGUAGGGUGCGAGCGUUGUCCGGAAUUAUUGGGCGUAAAGAGCUCGUAGGCGGUGUGUCGCGUCGGCCGUGAAAACCUGGGGCUUAACUCUGGGCUUGCGGUCGAUACGGGCAUCACUGGAGUUCGGCAGGGGAGACUGGAAUUCCUGGUGUAGCGGUGAAAUGCGCAGAUAUCAGGAGGAACACCGGUGGCGAAGGCGGGUCUCUGGGCCGAUACUGACGCUGAGGAGCGAAAGCGUGGGGAGCGAACAGGAUUAGAUACCCUGGUAGUCCACGCCGUAAACGUUGGGCGCUAGGUGUGGGGGCCAUUCCACGGUCUCUGUGCCGCAGCUAACGCAUUAAGCGCCCCGCC
rnacentral:rRNA from 1 species